CCCUUAGAUGUUCUGGGCCGCACGCGUGCUACACUGAGUGGAUCAGCGGGUCAGGUUGCGCGAAAGCGUUUCCUAAUCUUUAAAUCCGCUCGUGAUGGGGAUUGACGGUUGCAAUUUUCUGUCAUGAACGAGGAAUACCUUGUAAGCGCGGGUCAUCAUCCCGCGCUGAAUACGUCCCUGCCCUUUGUACACACCGCCCGUCGCUCCUACCGAUUGAGUGGUCCGGUGAGGCUUUGGGAUCUGAGCGGAAAGAGCGUUUCGCUGUUUCUGCUCGGAAAACUCAGUCGAACCUUAUCAUUUAGAGGAAGGAGUAGUCGUAACA
rnacentral:rRNA from 1 species